CGAUUAUCCCUCAGGUUAAAAUUCACCCGUGCCUCCCUUUCUAUCCUGUUUUCCUAGAUUUCUUCCUUUCCCCCCCCCCCCCCCCGUCUCCGACACACCGAAGUGAAACUCCUCCAUGCCAGACACCCGCCGGCCCGCAGGGAGGGCCCCGGGGGGAGAAGGGGCCGGGAGUGCGAUGGAUUUACCGUGUGCCUGGCUGUAGGAGACCCUGGCCCGGGCAUGGGCAGAAUUGGCGUAGUAGGGGUUGCCCUGUGAAUCCAGAUGGUUGAAGAAGACGUCGACUUCAUCCGGAGUUUCCCGGCCGCCUCCCGCGCAUCUCGCUUGGCUACAAAUAAAGGGGAGGAAAAGCCUCUAGUGGCUCCCAGCCUGCUCACCAAAACGCCUUUGGUGCAACUUCCCAAAGGAAAACGCGUGCGGAGGGGGGUUGCACAAAGCUUUGUACGGAAAAAGCUUAUUUCGGGCGCAGCUGUUGCAGGAGGGAGGAAAGAGGCCGAUCCCGCAGCCUCAGCACCCCAAAGCAAAAGGAGGAUAAAGAAGGGAACUUUGCACAUACAACGGCAACAACAAAAACAAAACCGAAAAAAAAAAAGGGAGCGGGGGGUGAAAAAGCCGUCGGAGAGGAGCGGCCCAUGCCCGAUGUGGCUGGGUAAUUCUAAAUCAUGCAAAGCCCCGUAAAGCUGCCGCACGGGACUGGGACGAGAGGACUCCCCGGCAGGCAGGUGCAGGGGGAGCGGGGCCGGGCCCCGCCGGCUUCCCAGACUCGAACAAACCCUCGCAGUCUUUCAGGCUAUGCACCUGCACCUAAGAGAUGCAGUGGAGAAGCUGGAAGAGGCGCAAGCAGAUAUUACUCGACGAGUCGUUGUUAUAGCUAGGAAAGAAACGGCAGAGGGAGACGCCGUCGCCAGCCGUGCCCUGGGAUCGCCCCCGCACCGAACGACUCUGAGCCGAGGGACCGUCGCUCAGGCAGAAAAACUAGGGGGAAAGAGGGCUUUGAAGCCCGUGGAUUUUUUUGUCCGAAGCCGGGGCAGACGGGGGUGUCUGAGCCGGGGGCUGAGGGGCCUCAGACCGGCGGAGGAACGGGGCUGUCCACAGCACUGCUGCUGCGUGCCGGCCCGGCUGUCCCGCGGCCACGGCCACCCCCAAAGCGCCAUCAGAGGCAUUUGGGACCGAAGGGCCGGCGGAGUUGCGAUUUUCCCCUCUUGCCCGCUGGAAGAGAAAGAUGUUUUCCUCUGCUGUUUUAGCUUUCGUACUAAAGAUGUCAUCUGAAAGUCUGGGAGGAAGGGGGGACCGUUCUCUGCUCUGUUCCACGGUAACAACCAUAUUCUGCGUAUUGAAAAAUAUGAGAGACGCUGGGGAAGGCUGGGGUGGCUUUUUUUUUUUCCUUUAAAAAAGAAAACGAACCAACCUUUUCUAUAUUGAUUCAACAAAAAAAGAGGGGGAGAGAAUUUAAAAAGAGAAGAAGCAGCACCAGCAGCAGGGAGAAUAUAGGCUCAGCAACUCUCCAGGUUCGCUUCCUUAUUAUUACUAUCCAGGGGUAAUUUUUCAUCUCUGCUAGCUAAUCUUUGUUCCUUGUGAAGAUAAUGAAUAGCCCAAUCCUUAUCUCCUGGGCUCCUGGAGGCUGCUGGAGAAUGGGGUUGAACAGGGUUGAAAAUUGGUUCCAAAGUGCUGCUGAAUAAAUGGUGUUCCUUAUCUCUCGCUUCCAGAUUAUCGGAACCCUUUCAAAACUCACACAACAAAUACAGCCACCGCAUCUAAUGCAUCAUUUACCAGAGCAGAUCUCCGCGUUUGAUCGGCAGAUAGGCAAAAUCUAUGUGUUCCUUGCUUUACUUAGUAUGCACGGCCGCGGAGCUGCUGUGCAUGCGGGGUGCCCCCGGCCGGGCCUGGGACACCCCCGAGGCUCUUAGCACACGCAGGUCUUUGCUGUGGGCUCUGCGAAGUGAUGAGUGUCCCCUGCCUGUCCCCGACACGGAAGAGCAGGGUGGGACAGUAACCCACCUUGCAAGGUGCUACUGCUCGGUGAGCUUGGAAAUUUAGGUUUGCACCGUUGGUGGAUUUGCAGGGAGAGGGGAAGAGGUGUGAGAUUCACCCUCAGCACCCCAGGCACCUGCUCCUGCUCGCUCCUGCACACGCAGUUGAAUUUGCCCACACUCACAGCUGUCAAUGCUUCAAGGGUGCUGAGCCCCAGCUGCGUGGAAGCAUCCCAACAUGCACCUCUCAGAAACUUUUAGUCUCAUCUGUGCCCUAGUCCUGCCCCAGCCCUCGGCAGUCUCAGGGCUGAGCUGGACCAGUCUGGUAAAACCUCCUGGUGCUCUUCUCAGCUUGUCUCUCCCAAAUCCUGGCAGCCCAGCCAAUGCCUCAGGUCCCCUGGGUACUGAGGCCAGCUUCCCUGUUGAUGCUGGAGGAUCCCUCCACAUCCAGCUGCAGGAAGAAGAAAGCACCUGGAGCAGCCCAAAUUUAGGGGGCAACUGAUGAUCCUGAGGAGAAAACAAAACAAAUAAACCCCACAGCAAGGGAGUGCUUCUUUGCUUCAGGAGUCAGUGAGAAUGCUGUCCAGCUCAGGGCAGUAGCAGGUUUUCCUUUCUUCUUUUCUUCCUUUCUGUCUUUCUGGGGUUUUUUUUCUGUCUUUCUGUUUGUCUUUUACCUUUCUUUCUAUCUGUCUUUAUUUCAGUCUUUCCUACUUUCUUUCUAUCUCUCUCUUCUCCCUUGGUUUUCUUAUUCUCUUUUCCCCUUCCCCUGGCCCCGACCAAGACCCCCAAACAAUCUACAUAACAGUAAAUGCCUCCUAAGCCCAGCUGUGCAGCCCCUGACUUCACAGCAGAUCUUCCAACUCAGAGCAGAGGGCAGACAUCCCCUCAGCUUUCACUCACUCCUCCUUUCCCUGGCAGUGCCUGACCUGCUCAGGUACCAAACAAGGUGACACUUUGUUUUGCACUACCAUAACACACCUGUGUAUCUCUAGUGCUGCCCUGGAUCCUGAGCCCAGGGGCCCUGCAAGAUUCUGGGUUGGAGACGGGACAGCCAGUGCCCCAAUCACCUCUGCCUGUCCAGCAAAGUUCAUCCCUCUCGAGCUUGGAAAGGGAGAGAAACUUUGGUGGGAAGUUGUGGGCAAGCAGCAGCCCCAGCCCACCCCUGCUCCUGCUCAAGAGUUUUGCAAAUGUUCAACUUGUACUAAUUUUUUUAUGGCGGUAUUCACAGUUGUUCCCUGUAAAAAAUGGACCUGUGUUAGUUUAUUAAUAACCUAAACAUUACGUAUUAAAGACCUAUGAGUGACACAAGAUGACAAAAAGCUGUAUUUUUCCAAUAUACACAAGCACACAUUUAAUAACCUUCUAUUGCAUCUCAGCUAGGC